AUGUGCCGGCCGCCAGGCGCACGCCAGGGACUUUCAUUUGCUACAUUUUCUCACCAAGCAGUGGACUUCAUUCUGGCUUCACUGAAGAACAUUCUAUCAUCAGAAAGGGAGAAGGAGCUAGUUGGGGAGAUAAUCAAUGGUUUAGUGUCUCGCUUGAUGAAAAGGAUGUGCGCCGUUCCUGAAAAUGCUGGUACUUCAGAUUCAGGUGACACUUGUUGCAUUCUUAGUGAAUAGUCAGAUGCCCAGAUCUCUGUGCAGCACUUGUUCCGUAAGUUAGGAAAUGAGGAGUUCAUUGGUCAGAGGAUAAUCCUUGCAGUUUCUCAAAAGAUUUCGAAUGCAUCAGAAAGGUUACUUCUGGUUGAUCCGUUUGAUGAUGUUUUCCCUGAUAUGCAUGGCAAUAUAUUCAUCAUGAUUCAGUUAAUCGAGUUCCUAAUAUCUGAUUACAUGAAAGAUUGGCUUUGUUGGCAGCAUUUUGACAAAAGACUUUUUGAAGAAUGUGUCAGAUCUAUUCUCAAGGCACGCAAUGAUUUGCAAAUCCUGGAAAACAUGAAUGGGCUGUAUGUGGUGUACAUUGAGCGCGUGGUUGGAAGGUUGGCAAGGGAGGUGGCUCCUGCUGCACUUCAGGGGAAGCUGGACCUAGAAGUCUUCUCCAAACUCUUGUGUGCUGAGAGGGCCUACCUCAGACUUCUCAAUGUAUUUGCACAAGUCGUUUCAUUUUAA